rnacentral:rRNA from 1 species
AUGUCGUCAGGGCCCAGCGAGGGGGAGGAGGAAGAUCGGGAGGGCAUGUCGUCAGGGCGCAGCGAGGAGGAGGAGGCCGGCCAGGAGGAGAUGGAGGAGGAGGCCGGCCAGGACGAGAUGGAGGAGGAGGCCGGCCCGGAGGAGAUGGAGCAGGAGGCCGGCGAGGAGGAGGCCAUGUUGUCAGGGCACAACGAAGAUGAUCAGGUGGACGUGGAGGCCAUGCUGUACUGCCAUGAAGGGGAGGAAGCCUUGCUGUCACAGAACGAGGAAGGGGAGGAGGAGCCUGAGGAAGUCCAGGCCAUGUGCGAGCGAUGCGAUUCCCUGGAGAGGUUGGUGACGCUCUUACCGUGCAGGCACGCCUCCUACUGCGAACGCUGCUUCGCCAUCGUCGACCGCCGCCAGGGAGCAGGGCGGCUGUGCGCGGUUUGCUGGCAGCCCUAUGCGCGGGGGCACCCUCAGUCCGGAGGUCUGCAGCCCAAGCCGAAGAAGAGCUCCAAGUAA